rnacentral:lncRNA from 1 species
UCAAAGCAAUGGACAUCACGGGCUACUCAGAUCCCUACGUCAAAGUGUCCCUACUAUGUGAUGGGCGGAGACUGAAAAAGAAGAAAACAACCAUAAAAAAGAACACCCUCAACCCUGUCUACAACGAGGCCAUCAUCUUUGAUAUCCCCCCAGAAAACAUGGAUCAAGUGAGCCUGCUCAUCUCCGUUAUGGACUAUGACAGAGUUGGCCACAACGAGAUCAUAGGAGUGUGUAGAGUGGGGAUCAGUGCUGAAGGUCUUGGCAGGGACCACUGGAAUGAGAUGUUGGCAUACCCACGAAAGCCCAUCGCACACUGGCACUGCUUGGCGGAGGUAAAGAAAUCCUUCAAAGAGGGAACCCCCCGGUUGUGAUUUCAUUCACGUGGAUGCUGCAAGCGGUGGCAGGGCCGAGCUGCCAGUUUCGACAGCGAGAGCUCAUGCCCAUCUCCGAAACCACCUCCGACACCAUGAGCUGCACAGCCCAGCCAACGGGACUCAGCAAUGUUAUUUCCGCACUUGUUCCAGUAUCUAAACACAGUGUUUGUGCAGUCACGGCGAUGGCCGCAGCAGCAGCCACUGCCUGCCAGCCCAUGGUCUUCACUGCUCUCGUGCAGGGCAAGGCCCAGACACUUGUCCUGUGUGAUCAGAUCUGUCCUAGUCUUUUCUGUCUCCCAAGGUGACGUUUUUGUGGUUUUUUCACUUUGUUUGGUCUACUGUCGAGGAAGAAAUAAAAACAUAACGAUUUGAGAUACAAAACGAAGAAUGGAGAGCCCGGAAAUUGGUUCUGGGAAAUACAGUAUAAGAUAGCAGUCUUGUAGGGGAAAACAGACUGAAUCUCUGAAAUUUUGUGCCUCCAUCAAACAUUGACCCCUGGAGACGCACCAGAAGGAUGGAGCUGUGGCUGUAUUUUCAGUGCCCUUCAUGAAUGGAACCUAUCAAUUUAGGAACCUUUCCAAGGUGAAUUAUUCUUGGUGGAAGCUCUUCACUGCUGUGACACAAGACAAGAUGUGAUCCUCUUGUCCCGUGUUGAAAUCAUGAGACCUCUGACAUGUUUGUGACUCUGUAGGGGAAUCCUUAUUCCCCUUUUUGUUGGCUUUCCCAAACUGGGAACAUUUUGAUUCCUCGUGGGAACUUAGUCACUUUCCUUAGGAACGAUCCACUGAAAGUAGUCACACCGUAUGUUUUCUGACACUCCACAGUUAAUGAUCACUGUGUUGUUUGGAAACAGGAUCUUAGUUCUCAAAAAUAGCCUUCAUUGUAAAGAAAGGAGGCACAUAUGUUCCAGAAUGAUUCCUGUGUUAUACAUAGCUUUAUAAUUCCACAAAGUAUCAAGCAGCUGUUUAAAAUGCCUAAACAGAGCAAAGAAAAAUCUAGACAACACGUUUCUUUUCUGAAUGGGGCAUUUUGAAAUCCAAACCACACUUUUGAGUCUGCCAUCUAUGAAGAGUCUUCUCUUAGUUGAAACCCAGUUAGCCAGAGACUAGUUCAGCCCCACAGACUCUGGGACAAUAACUUACUUUAAACUUUAGUUCUAUAAAUUAAUAAGUAUUCUGUGUUGUUUGUUUCAGUCAUAGUGAAAAGAUCUUUGCUUGUUUGUUUUCCAUUAGCUCUCUACCUUAGGCCAAAUUCAGUCUAGAAAACAAAAAUGAAUG